AUAUGAUGAAACCAACCCAAACUUGCUGGAAUUACCGGCAGAUUGAGUGGUGGUGACAAGAGGUGGUUCUGAUG
rnacentral:snoRNA from 1 species